rnacentral:lncRNA from 1 species
CCUCGGGGAGUAGAAUCGUGAUCAGACUGAGGGCUCUUCACCCUCGAAUUUCCCUUUCUAGGGAAGACAGGAUGACUGGCCCAAGUGGCCCACCCUACUGUCGAAUCUUGGAACUCCGACGAUGCUCUUUCCAACCGCACUGAUUUCUGUGGCUGUUGCCACUAUUGCUGCAUGGCCUGCACUGCUUCGGUGAGGCCUCUGACCUACUGAACCAGCAGGUCAAACUGCUCUAUACCGACCAUCAUUAUCGGAGGAGGAGGAGGAGCCUGGGAAUCUGGAGGUGAGGUCGGAGCCUGAGAUCUAGCCACGGAGGCCGUAGAUUGCCUAGUGGAUGCCUUUUGGGGAAGCAUCAGGUGGAGA